rnacentral:rRNA from 1 species
GACGAACGCUGGCGGCGUGCCUAACACAUGCAAGUCGAGCGGAGUCAGUAAGAGGAAGUUUUCGGAUGGAAUCUUAUUGAUUUAGCGGCGGACGGGUGAGUAACGCGUGAGCGACCAACCUUGCACAGGGGGAUAACGGACCGAAAGGUUCACUAAUACCGCAUGAGACCACGGUGUUGCAUGUCACAGGGGUCAAAGGAGCAAUCCGGUGCAAGACGGGCUCGCGGCCGAUUAGGUAGUUGGAGGGGUAACGGCCCACCAAGCCUAUGAUCGGUAGCCGACCUGAGAGGGUGAUCGGCCACAUUGGAACUGAGAUACGGUCCAAACUCCUACGGGAGGCAGCAGUGGGGAAUAUUGGGCAAUGGGGGAAACCCUGACCCAGCAACGCCGCGUGAAGGAAGAAGGUUUUCGGAUUGUAAACUUCUGUCCUUGGUGAAGAGAAGAAGACGGUAGCCAAGGAGGAAGCCCCGGCUAACUACGUGCCAGCCGCCGCGGUAA